AUUGAACGCUGGCGGCAUGCCUUACACAUGCAAGUCGAACGGUAACGGGCCUUCGGGCGCCGACGAGUGGCGUACGGGUGAGUAAUACAUCGGAACGUGCCCGAUCGUGGGGGAUAACGAGGCGAAAGCUUUGCUAAUACCGCAUACGAUCUACGGAUGAAAGCAGGGGACCGCAAGGCCUUGCGCGGACGGAGCGGCCGAUGGCAGAUUAGGUAGUUGGUGGGAUAAAAGCUUACCAAGCCGACGAUCUGUAGCUGGUCUGAGAGGAUGAUCAGCCACACUGGGACUGAGACACGGCCCAGACUCCUACGGGAGGCAGCAGUGGGGAAUUUUGGACAAUGGGCGAAAGCCUGAUCCAGCAAUGCCGCGUGCAGGAUGAAGGCCUUCGGGUUGUAAACUGCUGUUGUACGGAACGAAAAGCCUUCUUUUAAUACAGGAGGGUCAUGACGGUACCGGAAGAAUAAGCACCGGCUAACUACGUG
rnacentral:rRNA from 1 species